rnacentral:lncRNA from 1 species
AAAACUGAUACCGUCUUACCACAAAAACUUUUAAACGUCAGUUUAUGCCUUGUCUAAAAAAAUUUCAAAUUAUGACGUUGACAUAUGGUUCAUUUUGCAGCCAAAAUUUUAUUAGACAAGUGUAAAACAGGGUUUAAAGUUUUUGUAGUAAGGCCCUUGGUUUUUAACCAUAUUAAAAUGCAUCAGUAAAUAGAAUUCGUCCCUGAUUUACCCUGCCCUUUACCCGCGCGCGUCCCGUGUGCUCAGUCGUGACCGAACGCGCGUGCUCGUCAGUUGUGUGUGGCGUUAUUUUAAGAGAAAUUCCAAAUUUCAGAUUAAGUAUUAAAUAAUGGCGAAACCAAAAAAACAAAAAAGUGAGGAAGAAUUAAAGAGGCGUAGAAUAGCUAGAAGACAAAAAUAUCAAACUAUUAAAAACAAUCCUAUUAAAAAUCCUAUUAAAAAGAAUAAAAAAAUUAAAAGUAUUAACGAAAUGAGUCCACGCGAGCAAAGAAUUCAAAGACGAAAAUGGAAGAGAGUGCCAAAAAGUUUUAUAGAAAGAAAGUAAGCCAAAGAAUUAUAGAGAACGUUACAGUAACUGAAGAAAGUUGUGAUAUUGAAAAUGUUAACAUGAAUACAGAUCCUUUAAAUAUAUAAAACCAAGAAAUAACAUCCAAAAUAAGUAUGCGUGAACAAAAACUAAUAAAAAAAAUCAAAACAAUGAAAAUGCAGCACGAAAAAGAGAAACGAAAUUAUAUAUUAUUAUUAAAUAGGUACAGGUUCAGGUUAAAUUAUUUUAAAAGAAAAACAUCUACACUAACAGGUGAAAUAAGUAAUGAAUCAGAAAAUACAAAAAAUGAAGACAAGAAACAAUUAUUUGAUAGACUUCUAAGAAAUUUUUGGCUGAAAAUACUAACAUUAAAAUUAGUUACACGACUUUUACAAGACUCAGACCAUUUUGGGUCUCUCUUCCGACUGACGACCGUGAUAGAUGUGUUUUAACAGAUAGUUCCACAAGCCAGUACAGAAAUAAAUACAUAUUUUAUAUAUUAACUCAAUUAAGGAAUGACUUCCCAGAACUAAAUCAUGUCACGUGGAAUUACCAAGAAGCUGGGCACGGCAAGGGUGCUCCUGAUGGCAUUGGAGCAGUGAUCAAAAGGAAUUAAAGUGUCAUCAGGAUGUCGGAGACUUUGAUGCCUUUGUAAACAUUAUUCGAAGAAAUAUAAAAAACGUAGAAAUGGGUAUUACUCAAGAGCACGAAAUUAAAUUUAAGGAAUUAAUGUUGCCUAAAGAUAUUGCCACUUUCAAGGGGACUAUGACAGUUCAUCAGGUCGUUUGGGCAGCCGAUUCUGCUUAUCUAGAAUUUAGAAAACAGAGCUGUUUCGAAUGUAUAAGUGUCGCUUGUAAACAUGGCAAACAUAUAAGAUUUUUCAAGAUAUAUAAUACUCCAAUUGGAUCUACAAUGGAAAAUGUAAAGGUCAUCCCGGAAAAGAAAAGAAUUAAGGUACUUAGUGAUGUUACCAUUCGCUAUGCUAAUACCGAUGAUCCAAUGUUACAUGACAGCACGCCAUCAACUUCAAGUCUCCGCAGUGUUCGACACUCCUGGGCCAAUAAAUCCUUACUAAUAUUAUAAAUCGGAAAGUGAGUUUGUUUGUUUGUUUGUUUGUUUGUUCCGCUUUCACGCCGUAACUACUGAACCGAUUGCUUUGAAAUUUUGCAGACGUAAAGUUAGAAGUCCGGAUUAAAUAAUAGGGUACUUUUUAUCCCGAAAAAAAUUGAUAUUCCCGAGGGAAAACAAAAAUAUUGUUUGCUUGAUGGAUGGAUUGUAGAUGGCGCUGUGUGUCGUUUAAAACAAGGUAAUAUAUUGCAAACGAAUAUAAACAUGUAAAUUUAUAAGCUAAAUGGUACGAUAAUGAAUCCCCGAAAAUGAGGAAUUCCCGAGGGAUGAUGUACAAUUUGUUUAAUCGUCUAAACUGAUUUUUUUACAU